rnacentral:rRNA from 1 species
GACGGAGGGUGCUAGCGUUGUUCGGAAUCACUGGGCGUAAAGGGCGCGUAGGCGGCCUUGCAAGUCGGUUGGUGAAAGCCCGGGGCUCAACCCCGGAGGUGCGGCCGAGACUGCAGGGCUGGAGGCCGGAAGAGGAGGGUGGAAUACCCAGUGUAGAGGUGAAAUUCGUAGAUAUUGGGUGGAACACCGGUGGCGAAAGCGGCUCUCUGGUCCGUACCUGACGCUGAGGCGCGAAAGCGUGGGGAGCAAACAGG